rnacentral:rRNA from 1 species
GAUGAACGCUGGCGGCGUGCUUAACACAUGCAAGUCGAACGGACCAUAUUCGUAUGGUUAGUGGCAGACGGGUGCGUAACACGUGGGUGACCUGCCCUUAAGUGGGGAAUAACUCCGCUAACGCGGAGCUAAUACCGCAUAUGUUCGCUCAUUCGGUUGGGCGAGUAAAGCAGCAAUGCGCUUAGGGAUGGGCCUGCGGCGGAUUAGGUAGUUGGUGGGGUAACGGCCCACCAGGGCGACGAUGGCUAGGGGGUCUGAGAGGACGAUCCCCCACACUGGUACUGAGACACGGACCAGACUCCUACGGGAGGCAGCAGUGAGGAAUAUUGGUCAAUGGGCGGAAGCCUGAACCAGCCAUGCCGCGUGCAGGAUGACGGCCCUACGGGUUGUAAACUGCUUUUCCCCGGGGCGAAUAACCCCCUCGCGAGGGGGGAUGCCGGUACCGGGGGAAUAAGGAUCGGCUAACUCCGUG